GGGACCUUCUGGUGUUGUGUAUGUGCCAUAUUUACAACAAAAGGAGUUAGCAAUGUUACCCGGGUAGAACUUCAAUGGUACGAGAUGAUAUAGUACUAGUUUACAACGAUAGGAGUUAAUAAUCUUCAAUGAAAAUAACUGGUUCAGUCUCCUAUUGAUCAGUUGAUUUCCAUCAUUCAUUCAUUGUCUGACAACUUUAUAUAUAAAAAAAAUAUAUAGUCUUUACAGUCAUCACUAUUUGGGCCUUGUAAUCAAUAAAAUUACAUACUGUCAGAAAACUUUAUAAAUCAUAAUGUUUACAGUAAACGCAUUUGCUUUUGUGCACACGUGCUUACUGUUCAAUAGUGCCUAAUGAUGAUGAU
rnacentral:lncRNA from 1 species